UACGGAGGAGGCAAGCGUUAUCCGGAAUUAUUGGGCGUAAAGCGUCCGUAGGUGGUGAGUCAAGUCUGCUGUUAAAACGUGGAGCUUAACUCCAUAUCGGCAGUGGAAACUGGCUUGCUAGAGUGCGAUAGGGGCAAGGGGAAUUCCCAGUGUAGCGGUGAAAUGCGUAGAUAUUGGGAAGAACACCGGUGGCGAAAGCGCCUUGCUGGGUCUGCACUGACACUGAGGGACGAAAGCUAGGGGAGCGAAA
rnacentral:rRNA from 1 species